rnacentral:rRNA from 1 species
UACGUAGGGUGCGAGCGUUAAUCGGAAUUACUGGGCGUAAAGCGUGCGCAGGCGGGCUUUUAAGCCAGACGUGAAAUCCCCGGGCUCAACCUGGGAAUGGCGUUUGGGACUGGAAGUCUGGAGUGCGGCAGAGGAGACUGGAAUUCCUGGUGUAGCAGUGAAAUGCGUAGAUAUCAGGAGGAACACCGAUGGCGAAGGCAGGUCUCUGGGCUGACACUGACGCUCAUGCACGAAAGCGUGGGGAGCAAACAGG